UUCCAGACUCCUACGGGAGGCAGCAGUGAGGAAUAUUGGUCAAUGGGCGGGAGCCUGAACCAGCCAAGCCGCGUGAAGGAAGAAGGCGCCAGGCGUCGUAAACUUCUUUUGUCGGGGAACAAAGGGCGCCACGUGUGGCGUUGUGAGUGUACCCGAAGAAAAAGCAUCGGCUAACUCCGUGCCAGCAGCCGCGGUAAUACGGAGGAUGCGAGCGUUAUCCGGAUUUAUUGGGUUUAAAGGGUGCGUAGGCGGUUUUUUAAGUUAGUGGUUAAACGUCGGGGCUUCACCUUGAUUUGCCAUUAAUACUGUAAGACUCGAGUUCAGACGAGGUAGGCGGAAUAAGUUAAGUAGCGGUGAAAUGCUUAGAUAUAACUUAGAACUCCGAUAGCGAAGGCAGCUUACCAGACUGCGACUGACGCUGAAGCACGAGAGCGUGGGUAGCGAACAGGAUUAGAUACCCCUGUA
rnacentral:rRNA from 1 species